rnacentral:rRNA from 1 species
UACAGAGGGUGCAAGCGUUAAUCGGAAUUACUGGGCGUAAAGCGCGCGUAGGUGGAUUGUUAAGUUGGAUGUGAAAUCCCCGGGCUCAACUUGGGAACUGCAUCCAAAACUGGCAAGCUAGAGUAUGGGAGAGGGUGGUGGAAUUUCCUGUGUAGCGGUGAAAUGCGUAGAUAUAGGAAGGAACACCAGUGGCGAAGGCGACCACCUGGACCGAUACUGACGCUGAGGUGCGAAAGCGUGGGGAGCAAACAGG